rnacentral:rRNA from 1 species
CCUACGGGAGGCAGCAGUGAGGAAUAUUGGUCAAUGGACGAAAGUCUGAACCAGCCAAGUAGCGUGAAGGAUGACUGCCCUAGGGGUUGACAACUUCUUUUAUAUGGGAAUAAAAUGUUCCACGUGUGGGAUUUGGUAUGUACCUUAUGAUUAAGGAUCGGCUAACUCCGUGCCAGCACCCGCGGUAAUACGGAGGAUCCAAGCGUUUUCCGGAUUUAUUGGGUUUAAAGGGAGCGUAGGUGGAUUGUUAAGUCAGUUGUGAAUGUUUGCGGUUCAACCGUAAAAUUGCAGUUGAUACUGGCAGUCUUGAGUACAGUAGAGGUGGGCGGAAUUCGUGGUGUAGCGGUGAAAUGCUUAGAUAUCACGAAGAACUCCGAUUGCGAAGGCAGCUCACUGGACUGCAACUGACACUGAGGCUCGAAAGUGUGGGUAUCAAACAGGAUUAGAUACCCCAGUAGUC